rnacentral:rRNA from 1 species
AGCAGUAGCCGCGGUAAUACGUAGGUGGCGAGCGUUGUCCGGAAUUAUUGGGCGUAAAGGGAGCGCAGGCGGACAUAUAAGUCCAUCUUAAAAGUGCGGGGCUCAACCCCGUGAGGGGAUGGAAACUGUAUGCCUUGAGUGCAGGAGAGGAAAGCGGAAUUCCCAGUGUAGCGGUGAAAUGCGUAGAUAUUGGGAGGAACACCAGUGGCGAAGGCGGCUUUCUGGACUGCAACUGACGCUGAGGCUCGAAAGCCAGGGGAGCGAACGGGAUUAGAUACCCGUGUAGUCCCUGUCUCUUAUACA